rnacentral:rRNA from 1 species
AGACGUCUACAUUAGAUACCCGCGUAGUCCCAGCCGUAAACUAUGCGCGUUAGGUGUAUCGGUGACCACGAGUUACCGAGGUGUCGAAGGGAAACCGUGAAACGUGCCGCCUGGGAAGUACGGUCGCAAGGCUGAAACUUAAAGGAAUUGGCGGGGAGCACCACAACGGGUGGAGCCUGCGGUUUAAUUGGACUCAACGCCGGGAAGCUCACCGGAUAAGACAGCGGAAUGAUUGCCGGGCUGAAGACUCUGCAUGACUAGCUG